rnacentral:misc_RNA from 1 species
GUAAAAUAUCACAGAAUCUCUAUACUUUUUGAUACUAUUCAGUUUAUAAUCUAUGGAAGCUAUUAUACGAUACAAUUCAAUUGAUACGAAUUUAACUACGUAUUCCAAUUGUGAUUAAAUAGUGAAUCUAUCAAGAGUUAUUAUUAGCAACAUUAUGUCACCGAGAAUAAGGAAACGUCGUACAAUGGAUACACCCGGUGUUAUCACAAGAAAAAGAGCUAGAACACAUAAUUUGAGAAAUAAAAAUUCGAAUUCUUUGCAAGAUUUUGAGAAAGAUAUUGAAAAUAAGAAAAAAAGUAAAAUCAAUGUUUCACCCAAAAACAGUGAACAAUCUAGAACGAUAAAUUCUUUAAAUAAACCAUUUUCAGAAAAAAACACAAGCUCAGAAAAAUCAAAGAAAAGUUAUACUUCCAACAGGUUUAGGAUGAUUAAAAAUCUUAAGCCAAAGGCAAAUAAAUCUAUUGGACAUAAUGAUUCUGUAAGUGAUAUUGAGAACAUAACAUGUGAACUAUUUAAUGAUUCAUCUUUCAAUUUGAGUAUGAAUAAUGAACAGAAAAGCAUGCAAGACUUAUCGCUAAAUAAAAUUGUUACUCCUAAAAGUAGUCCUAUUUCAAUAACUUUAACACCUCAGAGGACUACGAAGACGCCAAAAAAAUCACCUUUACAUUUAAAUUCUCCUAAGACGCAUUCUAGAGUCUCUCUUAGAACACCAAAAACACCUAGAAAAUUAAUGCUUUCUGUUCAUUCUCCUACUAUAUUUAAUAAUUCUGAAAAAUCUUUAAAAAGCAGAAAAAGUAUGAAUGAAAGUACAUUAACUUAUGAUUCAAUGAGUAAUAUUAAAGUAAAAUUAAACAAAUUAAAGAUAAAUCAAAAGGGAAUACGUUCAUCUUCCGAAAAUAUAUUAAGAUUAUCUAAAUCUCCAAAAAUUGUAUUAAGAUCUCCAAAAAAGUCCAAAAGUAAAUCAUCAAAAAUGGGAUUAUCUAGUGAAAAGAAUACGAGCUUCACGGUAUUAAAAACAGAAAAAUCCCCCAAAAAGGGUAUAUCAACAAAAAUCUCUAAUCGUUCCAAGAAAAAUUAUGUAGUUAACAAAUCAAUGUCAAGAAAAGCAGAUAACUUAGAUAUAACUUUGACAAAUUCAAAUAAUCUAUCUGCUUUAUAUAAAGAAAUAAUAUCAAAAAAGCCAGUGAUAAUACUUGAAAGAAUCCCAUUAUUGGAAAACUUCAUUCGAUCAUCUAAGUUCAUAAAUAAUCAACACCCAAUGAAUAGCACGUUUAACGUCAAACAAAUAGAAAAACAAUUGUUUAAUAUUUCAAAUUCUUUAAAAACUUCAUUUUCAUUAUCUCCAACAAAAAAAAAAGAAUUAAAUAAUAUAAAUACUUUAAAUUUAACAUCAAGCCCACAAAUAAAGCGUAAAUCGCAUCUAACAGUAAGUGAUAAUAUAUUACUUCAUUUAUCACCAGAAGCAUCAAGUAGUCCUCUAAUUGAAAAAAGAAUUCAUAGAAGGUCUAUUGGUCUCAAUUUGACUAAGAAAACAAAUGAAUUUUAUAAUAGCAGUCAAAAUAACACUAUUAAUGUUAAUGAAAAGGAAAAAAAUAUAGCAAAUGAGACAUAUGAGCUUCGUGAACCAAAAACUCCGUACUUACAAGCAAAAUGCAGAAAACGUAAAGCAGAAGAAAGGAACUCCGAUAAUGAAAGAGAUACAAAAAGAACAUGUAAAGUUCAUUUUGCUGCUUCAGAAUCGCGAAUAACAACAUUAAAUAAUAAGAAUGCUGAGCUUAAUCCUUCUAUUUCAUUAUUCAAACCAGAAUCUGUUAAUAAUAGAGACAUUAGAAAAAUUCCAAUCGUUAAAAGUAUGUCAAGAUCUGUAUCCAAUAGUUCAACAAAUAAGAAUACACAGAAUUCUGAAAUUAAAAAAUCUCUUUUUAACAAUACUAGAAAAAUAGAAAAGACACCCUCAUCUACAUUAAACAAAACAAAACUUAUUGGAAGUGAAGAGAAAACAGAUAUCAAAGUACAUAGUGCCAAAAAAAUUCCAAAUUUUCAUGAAAUACACACAAAACUGUUCUCUAAAAUGGAAUCUCUUGUAGAUAACAGAAUUCGCCUGAUAAAGCAACAUAAAGCAUUAAAAUCAAUCAAUGUUUCAAAAUUAAAUACACAAAAAAAUGUAAAACGUUCGCCAACUAAAACAAAAAAUGACGGUUACAAUAGAUUUGGUUUUAAGAUAAGGAAACCUGAAGCCACUAACAUUGUUUUAACAAAACAACCGCCAAAUCGGCAUCGUGCUGCUAUAGCUUUUGAAAAAAGAAGACAUGGUCGUUCAUUGCUUUGGUGGAUAAUACAUCCAUACAGCACUUUAAGAUUUUUCUGGGAUCUAUUGAUGAUAAUUACAUAUUUAUAUAUUUUCAUCAUGGUACCAUACAUCAUGACAUUUCAUAGAAUAGCUAAAAACACAGAUACUGAGUCGUGGAUAAUUGUUUAUCCUGCAUAUGUAAUUUGUAUAAUUGAUAUAAUUCUUAAUUUUAUAACUGGAUAUGUAUCAACCGACGGUAAUGAAAUAUUUCUAAAUCCUGUUUUAAUAGCACGGUAAAUUUAUAAAGAUUUUUUGAAGAAAAUCUCGAUAACAGAAAAUUAGAUAUAUUUAAUAAUAUUAUUUAUCUUCAAGGAAUUAUGUAAAAAGAUAUUUUUUCAUAGACCUUGUUUCCUCUAUUCCUUAUACUUGGUUUUAUAAACAACGCAUAUUGCCACCUGGACCUAAUUCAAAUUCCAUAUUUCUUUUACUCGAGAUCUUGCCUAUAUUAAAGAUUAUAAGAUUAGGUACACUGUAUCAUUAUCUUAGACAACUUAAUAUUGUAAGUUUCUAUAAGAUAACAAUAUUUUCUAAUGUAUUAUUUAAAUAAGCUAAAAAGAAUAAUAUAUUCGUUUAACAGACUUUUGGAUGUUCUCAUGCCAAAAAAAUAAUUACUUGGCUUAUUAUCCGGACUUUAUUAAUUUUUCAUUGGAGCAGCUGUUUGUCUUAUCUAUUUCCAUAUAUUGUAAUGCAUAUAAUCGGAGAUAGUAUGGAGAACUCCGGAACAUAUUUAAUACACACAGGAUUAUAUAAACAA